ACGAACGCUGGCGGCGUGCUUAACCCCUGCAAGUCGAACGGAAAGGCCCCUUUGGGGGUCCUCGAGUGGCGAACGGGUGAGUAACACGUGAGUAACCUGCCCUUGACUUCGGGAUAACUUCAGGAAACUGGGGCUAAUACCGGAUAGGAAUCCUUGCUGCAUGGUGGGGGUUGGAAAGCUUCGGCGGUUUUGGAUGGACUCGCGGCUUAUCAGCUUGUUGGUGGGGUAGUGGCUUACCAAGGCUUUGACGGGUAGCCGGCCUGAGAGGGCGACCGGCCACAUUGGGACUGAGAUACGGCCCAGACUCCUACGGGAGGCAGCAGUGGGGAAUAUUGCACAAUGGGCGGAAGCCUGAUGCAGCAACGCCGCGUGCGGGAUGACGGCCUUCGGGUUGUAAACCGCUUUCAGCAGGGGCGAAGCUUGUGGUGACGGUACCUGCAGAAGAAGCACCGGCUAACUACGUG
rnacentral:rRNA from 1 species